UACGUAGGGUGCGAGCGUUGUCCGGAAUUAUUGGGCGUAAAGAGCUUGUAGGCGGUUUGUCGCGUCUGCUGUGAAAAUCCGGGGCUCAACCCCGGACUUGCAGUGGGUACGGGCAGACUAGAGUGUGGUAGGGGAGACUGGAAUUCCUGGUGUAGCGGUGGAAUGCGCAGAUAUCAGGAGGAACACCGAGUGCGAAGGCAGGGUCUCUGGGCCGAUACUGACGCUGAGGAGCGAAAGCGUGGGGAGCGAACAGG
rnacentral:rRNA from 1 species